rnacentral:rRNA from 1 species
GGGCGUCGAGUGGCGGACGGGUGAGUAAUGCAUGGGAAUCUGCCUUUUGCUGGGGGAUAACGUAGGGAAACUUACGCUAAUACCGCAUAAGACCUGAGGGUGAAAGUGGGGGACCGUAAGGCCUCACGGCAGAAGAUGAGCCCAUGUCGGAUUAGCUAGUUGGUGGGGUAAAGGCCUACCAAGGCGACGAUCCGUAGCUGGUCUGAGAGGAUGAUCAGCCACACUGGGACUGAGACACGGCCCAGACUCC